rnacentral:rRNA from 1 species
UACGAAGGGGGCUAGCGUUGCUCGGAAUGACUGGGCGUAAAGGGCGCGUAGGCGGAUGGCACAGUCAGAUGUGAAAUUCCCGGGCUUAACCUGGGGGCUGCAUUUGAUACGUGUUGUCUUGAGUUCGGAAGAGGGUCGUGGAAUUCCCAGUGUAGAGGUGAAAUUCGUAGAUAUUGGGAAGAACACCGGUGGCGAAGGCGGUUGCCUGGAGCUUUGCUGACGCUGAGGCGCGAAAGCGUGGGGAGCGAUCCGG